rnacentral:lncRNA from 1 species
CAAGGGACAGAAGAGGACAUCUCUGGUCAAUGACUAAGCAGAGUCGCAGAGAUGUUGAGAGUAACCAUGGGCUUUAUUCAAAAGAUGGCAUGAGAUGCACAUCCCCAGAUUAUCUGCCAACCUGGGUUGAAAAGAGAGCGGCCACAAGAAGGAAUGACUCUGGCAGAGCAGCUGCAUUACAAUGUUCUGCUUCCUACUGUGACAAGACAGUCCAACACUGAAAAGUCCAAACUUCACACUCGGUUGGAGAAGGACACCUUUACCUCACUAUUGCACUGCACGCAGGGUUUCUAGCAAGCAGAGAGAAGGUAUGUUACAAAUUUGUGUCUGUACAUUUUUCCCUGUCCAAAGAGCACCCAAUAGUUGUACAGUCAAGCAAACAACAAGAGAC